GAUUUACCCAUCGCUAUCGCUCUGGUGUUUACUAAAGUAAGAAAAAUACCCUCAUGCAUUUCUUUAAGAGAUUUCUUUCACAGUUUUAAAGCCGCCAAAAGCCUCUUAUUAGGUCCAGGGUUUUGUAACAGCUUUUUCCCCAGCGGAGAAACGGCGUUCUGGCUCAACCAAGCGGCCUAUCCGACACCGAACGCAGAGACGCUUGCCAUGUAGAAUUCCCACCGCGUCUUCCAAACCCGGAGAGCGACCGACGGGCGAGAAGCCGGGAUGGGGCUGCCAUAAGCAAGCCACGACACCGAGCGGUGCCGCUCUCCCCCCUCCCUCUUUCCUUCGGCCCCGGGACGCACCUGAGAGCGGGGUGCGCUCCGCCUCGUCACCGCCGCGCUCGGGUGCGGGGUUAAGGAGAUGACAGCCAAGAAGCACAAACUGCAUUGUGGGCAGUAAGAAAAAAAGCCUACCAGUGAAGGAUCAAUAGGAAAAGACAGCAUUUGGAAGGAGAAAGAAAAAGUGGAAAAGAAGAUGUAUUAAAUUGACUUGCUCUGCAGCAAGAAGGGUUUCAUCUACCAAAAGGCUGAAUACUUGGGAACAACUCUCGCCAGCCUAUCUUUCAUCCCACAAUUCAUUUGUGAAGAACACAGUGGGAAAGAAUUAAAUCACACCUUAAAGUCAAAAGGUAGAUUAAAGCAAUUCCAGAUUGUUCUGUUUAUUCUCAUGAGAAUUCCUUCUCAUACACAAAUUCUUUCUAUAAUAAUUUAACUGACAGUCUACAGUGUAUUUUAAACAGCAGCAUAUCAGAAAGAAGAAGGAGUAGGUACAAUGUGUAUGCAUCUCUUCAUGUGUAUCUUUCUAGUGAGCAUUGCAUGUUUUCCUUCCCAGUUCAUCUUUUCAGUUCAAAACACAAGAUAGGACCACCAGUGCAUAAAAGAUUUUGUUAUUCCUGGAGCAGUCAACAAUACUGGCAUGCUAACAGUGCCUGAAAGCCUUCCUGAGUAACUGAGAAUACAUCUUCACUUGUUAGUCAGACCUCAAAGAUGCCAGGGGCUCUUGGAUACAGCUGGAAGAGCACUUAGCAAACACCAAAAACAUCAUCACAUGGGUAGGUUAACAAGUGAUGGAUAGUGGGUGGCUUGGAAAUAAACAUGUUUGUUGCUGAAUUAUUUAA